rnacentral:rRNA from 1 species
UACGUAGACCACAAGCGUUAUCCGGAUUUAUUGGGCGUAAAGCGUGUGUAGGAGGUGUGAUGCGUCCCUGGUUAAAGACCACUGCCUAACGGUGGAAGUGCCCGGGAUACGAUCACGCUGGAGGAGGUGAGAGGUGCAUGGAACUCACGGUGUAGGGGUGAAAUCCGUUGAUAUCGUGGGGAACACCAAAGGCGAAGGCAGUGCACUGGUACCUUCCUGACUCUGAGACACGAAAGCGUGGGGAGCAAAAAGG